rnacentral:rRNA from 1 species
ACCGCUCGGCUUGCAAGGGAUACUGUCGGCCUUGGGGCCGGGAGAGGUCGGAGGUACUUCGGGGGUAGCGGUGAAAUGCUGUAAUCCCCGGGGGACCACCAGUGGCGAAGGCGUCCGACCAGAACGGACCCGACGGUGAGGGGCGAAAGCUUGGGGAGCGAACGGGAUUAGAUACCCCGGUAGUCCAAGCCGUAAAGCAUGCGGGCCGGGUGUAGAGCGUCCUUAGAGGGCGCUCGGUGCCGUAGGGAAGCCGUUAAGCCCGCCGCCUGGGAAGUACGGUCGCAAGGCUGAAACUUAAAGAAAUUGGCGGGGGAGCACCACAAGGGGUGGGACCUGCGGUUCAAUUGGAUUCAACGCCGGACAACUCACCAGGGGCGACAGUUGGUUGAAGGCCAGGUUGACGACCUUGCCGGACUAGCUGAGAGGUGGUGCAUGGCCGUCGUCAGCUCGUACCGUGAGGCGUCCUCUCAAGUGAGGCAACGAGCGAGACCCUCGCCCUUAGUUGCCAUCGGUGGAUAGCCGGGCACUCUAAGGGGACCGCUGGUGCUAAACCAGAGGAAGGAGAGGGCGACGGUAGGUCCGUAUGCCCCGAAUCCCCUGGGCUACACGCGGGUCACAAUGCGCAGGACAAUGGGAUGCAACCCCGUAAGGGGGAGCCAAACCCCUAAACCUGCGCUCAGUUCGGAUCGAGGGCUGUAACUCGCCCUCGUGAAGCUGGAAUCCCUAGAAUCGCGCGCCACUACCG